rnacentral:rRNA from 1 species
GAUGAACGCUGGCGGCGUGCCUAAUACAUGCAAGUCGAGCGAACGGACGAGAAGCUUGCUUCUCUGAUGUUAGCGGCGGACGGGUGAGUAACACGUGGAUAACCUACCUAUAAGACUGGGAUAACUUCGGGAAACCGGAGCUAAUACCUGAUAAUAUUUUGAACCGCAUGGUUCAAAAGUGAAAGACGGUCUUGCUGUCACUUAUAGAUGGAUCCGCGCUGCAUUAUCUAGUUGGUAAGGUAACGGCUUACCAAGGCAACGAUGCAUAGCCGACCUGAGAGGGUGAUCGGCCACACUGGAACUGAGACACGGUCCAGACUACUACGGGAGGCAGCAGUAGGGAAUCUUCCGCAAUGGGCGAAAGCCUGCCGGAGCAACGCCGCGUGAGUGAUUAAGGUCUUCGGAUCGUAAAACUCUGUUAUUAGGGAAGAACAUAUGUGUAAGUAACUGUGCACAUCUUGACGGUACCUAAUCAGAAAGCCACGGCUAACUACGUG